rnacentral:rRNA from 1 species
AUUGAACGCUGGCGGCAGGCCUAACACAUGCAAGUCGAACGAGUGGCGGACGGGUGAGUAAUGCCUGGGAAUCUGCCUGAUGGAGGGGGCUCACUACUGGAAACGGUAGCUACUACCGCUUACCAUAGGAUGUGCCCAAAUGGGAUUAGCUAGUAGGUGGGGUAAAGGCUAACCAAGGCGACGAUCCCUAGCUGGUCUAAGAGGAUGACGAGCCACACUGGAACGGAUACAGGGUCCAGAAUCAUAAGGGAGGCAGCCGUGGGGAAUAGUGCGCAAUGGGGGCAAGCCUGAUGCAGCCAUGCCGCGUGUAUGAAGAAGGCCUUCGGAUUGUAAAGCUCUUUAAGUUGGGAGGCGUUACCAACAGAAUAAGCACCGGCUAACUCCGUGCCAGCAGCCGCGGGAAUAC